ensembl:lncRNA
CUCGCAAGAGCUAUCGCUUCGCUCAUGAACUAAUCAAACGGGGAAUUCCAUCUCCAUAGGAAGUGUUAAAUCAGGAUUUUUUUGUACAGGAUUCCCACAGAGUAUCUCACCAGAUUUCAAGUCGCGAACUUAAGCGAAUUCGCCGCGUUGUUUUUCAAGCGAUGGAGUGAAAAUGAUCUGAGCGAGCACGGCUUGGAAGAAGCAAGAUAUUCAAGAAGAAUCAAAGUAUCCACGAACAACUGGCCAUUUCACCUUUUAUUCAUCUCUGGAUGUCUUCACGAAGCUAAGCAAAGUUUCUUUCAUUUUUAUUGCCUAGUGCUAUGUUGGUGAUUAUGCUUCAGACAUUGCUCAUUGUCCAAGGCUAAUUGUUCAGUUAUAUACACGGACCAUGCUAUCAUAUUACCACAUCGGUAACACUACCAGUUAAAUUUACUAACAAGUCUUGUUAAUCUGUGUCAAUGCUGUCGAUAUGGAACGGGCUGCUGCUUCAGGCUCAUCUAUUGAGGAUGGUUUCAAUAAACUUAUCUGACUAUUUCCUACACACUGUGUUAAAUCAGUGAUAUGCUGUUGCUCAAGCUAACUAGUGUAUUGAUAAAGUGCUUGAUACUCAAAUGUACAGAUCGUAAAUUUUGCUCGUAUCAAUGCUAAACGUAUCUGGACAAGGGCUAAUGCUGUUGCCUAAAUUACAGUAUUGACCAUAUGCUGUACUGCUUUAAAGGGGCAUGCUGAUCUUUUAGCUGUUAUAAGAGCACCCCUUUGCUACUUCUAUUCUUCUGUAAAGGAAAUGCUGCCCCACUCUAUGCACUUCAGAAGGUCUUUGCUUAAAGCUAUCAGGGUAUUGGGACUGCUUGCUUGUUGAGGCUUAUCUAGUGUCCAGUAUCAUAUCAUUGCUAGACCUGCUGUUGCAUAAGCGGGAUUUAUACUUUCGCCUGGCUCCACUUGUGAGCCUCCGCUGACUACGCAUGCACCUUCCCAAACGGUCUAGGCUUCGCCAUCGUACAGGGUCAUACGGGGGCUUGAAAUCCUUGAAAAUGCUUGAAAUUUAUUGCAGUGUUUUCAAGGUUAAAAAAAAAAUGCUUGCUUGAAAAUGCAAUUGCAUUAGUCAUAAUAAUUUGCUUUCUUACUGGAUGGUUAAUCAUUGUUUUAUCAUAAGCAGCUCCGCUCUAGUCUGCACAUGUGGCCGUAGUGUGCUCUUUAUUAACGUGCGCCUUCUGAUGGAGGAGAGUGGAAAAAAUCUUGCUGGAGGUUGCUGCUUCAGUCAGCGAUGGCUUCAAAAUGACAAUUAUGGUCAAACCAAGAACUAAAUACGUGAGUAACCCCCUGUUAAGUCCGCUUGUUUUGUUUUUCCAUGGGAGAGUGUGCACUUCGAGCAUAUAAAGGUAAACAAACAUUUUCCUGCUCAGUUAAACUAAGUCUUAAGACUGUCGCAAUUUAAAGUGGAAAGUGAAAAUGAAUGAAAAGUGUUUAUUGUGGUAUACAUUUAAGAUCAGUUCACUAUGCAUACAAAUCCUUAUGCAGGGUUUCCCCAGCAUUAGGGUUAGGGUAUUACUGGCAUUAUAACUAAUCUUACACGGCAUUGAACACUACAGUUGUGUCAGAUCACGCGCUCACUGGACUGGACUCUCUCGAAUAUUGUCAUCAUAAACAGCGGAAACGAUGUAAACAAGAACUCAUUUGUGGUAUAGAUCGCGAGAUGCAGUGGAAUCAUCAGUCAUUUAAUCAGGAAGUUUUUGCUCGUUUCUGUAUGUUUAAAUCCCAAAUUGACCAUCUUGUUUCAUGCACUAAAAUUGCCUAUUGAAGCUUGUAUAUGACGUGUCAUUUCCCCCACCAAAAUAUAAUCGACAUUAAUCGUCAUUGUCAUUUAAAAUCUCAGGACAUUCAAAUGUAAGGACAUUCAUACAAGCUGUUUGUACCAGUCCAAAUGCGCCUCCUGCUGGCAAUUUGCAGAUUUCGUUUAGAACAAUGGAAAAUUGCUAAUGCGCCUUUAAAAAUCCAACGAUUUACAAAGUUGUGUGUGUGUGUGUGUGUGUGUGUGUGUGAUUGUAACCUGUAAUUUACCACAGUUGUAAAGUGCUUGAAAUUGAAAUGUCCUUGGAAGUGCUUGAAUUUUUCUUUGGAAGGUGUAAGAACCCUGGUGUACUAUUCUCUGAAACAACAGGGGGCGUCGAGGAGUAAUUGUCCUCUAAAACCAUCGGGAAUCACCAGUGAGAAGUCAUUUGCCCUGUCCCAAAUGGCACACUCCGGACUUGUGGACUUCCUCAGAGUCCACACUUUGGUGACGUCAUGUAGUGCAGACCUAUAUGGCCCUUGGCACGAGUCCACGAGGGCGUAUUGAGAGGUAUUUUUGGGACAGACUUGAUCGUCACGCCGGAAAUAAUGGUCUGGUUGUUUUUUGACAGGAGCUGCAGGUUUGGGGAAUAUGCUGCCUAUGUUCCAUUUGAGCUAAGAUUACAGUUUUAACACAUGUUUUCGUGAGUUUCAGAUGAAUUAACAGGUUUAAAUAUAAAUACUAGGUUUACAUAUGACUCAGUAAAGCCCUGACAUUCGGUUCUAUUUAUUUAAUGAAUCAUAAUGCGAUCAUAUUAUUCAACGCACUAUUAUUAUGUUUGAGAUCAACCCCUGGUCGAUGACCAUAAUGUUUGUAUAAACUGUAGGUAACAACUGGUAAAAUGUACACCUAGGUCAUAAAAACUGUAAUGAUACCUACACUUAAAUAUUUUAUUCUCAGCCAUGUCAUCAAUUGCUCUUGAGCGAAAUCUCCUCCCAUCCGUUGUAUCCGUUGGCAUUUCGCAAGGAUUCCUGGGUAAUUAAAGUGUGCGGAGCCUGCAUCUAUGUGGGCUUUGCGGAAGACCACUUCAAGGGUACAAAGGGGGCGCUGCUGAGCACACUUCAGAGCAUUAAAAUUCUGAAUGGGACGGCCUACGAACUCGUAGACUCGACGAGCACGCGCAAUUUAAGUCCACGAGACCGAAAGUCCACAUGAAGUGCGCCAUUUGGGACAGGGCCAUUGGCUGCAUCCGAAACUUAGGCAGCUGACUUGCUGCCUCGCUACUGUAUCAGGCAAUGACUUGCAGGCAGCGUUUUUGCACGAAGGUACCUCAUGAAACUGAUUUUGGACAGGCUUCUGAGGCAGAGGAAUGGAUCUACAGCAUGAUGUACAGCAAAAUAUAGAGUUAUGGUGAUAACUAGUGGAUAUUUAGUACAAACGUACAUUUUACACACAAACUGACACCGACCGCAACUUUCAGAUGCCAUUUUUAUUUUUGGCUUAACUGUCACAGAAUUUAAUGCGCAGAAUUGUGGGAUAUCAAAGGCAGCGAGGAUACAUCUAUGCUGCCUUCAAAAAAAAAAAAAAACACGGCCAGAUGAAGGCAACUCAGGAGACAGGAUCUGAAGCUAACAUGGAAUUCGGAUGUGUCUUGAUGCCCUCCAACCUUGGAAUGCAUCCUCUGAAGGCAGCAUUUUUCAGUUUUCAGAUGCAGCCAUCAUUUUCCCACACACUCUCUGCCUAAGAUGGCUUCAACUAGCUACAUGUGGUAUGGACCCCAUGCUUUAUACCAGCCAUUCAUUCUGCAUAUGCGCAGAAACCACCGCAGCUUCAACAGUCUCCAUACCCAUGCUCAAAGCAUGGGUCGAUGGUCAUCAUCAGCGUAUCAACAAUACAUUAGGCCUACAACUCAGGAUGUUAUAUUAGCGCAAAAGCUUGAGCAGCUCUUUACGUGGUUCUCCCGCUGGAGAGAACACCACUGCUGCACACUGCCAGCCGUCAGUCCCUCGAGAGGAGGAGAAGAAGGAUAUGAAGAAGGAAAAUGAGGAGUAGAAGGAGAACAAGGGGAAAAAAAAAAAUUUUCUCCCAGCGGAGAGAACACUCUUAAGCACCCCUGCUGCUUAAAUUAAAGAGGGGCCUGCUAUUCUCUCCCUCCUUCUAGAUGGGAGAAUACCCCUCUGCUAGCCAGUAGGCUGCAUUAAGGAUAUCUCUAACUUGUCUUUCUCUUUUGCAGGAAUGGAACAAGGACAGUUUUGGGGGUUCUUCACGCUGCUCUCCUACCUCUCAUGCCAAGCUCCGGGAUAUGCUGCUUUGUUCUUGCGGUUCUCCCGCUGGAGAGAACACCUUUUGCUGCUAUAACUGCAGGGGCCUGCUGUUCAUCCCUCAGCAGGGGAUGAACGCCCCUUGCUACUUUAAUUAAAGAGGGGCCUGUUAUUCUCUCCCUCCUUUUAGAGGGGUGGAACCAGGAUGGUUUUGGGGGGUUCUUCUUCAGGCAGUAAUACCUCUUAUGUUUGGGGAGUUAAUGUUUAAGCUCUUGUAUGUUCAGUUAAUUUGGGAACAAGAACCCCCAUAAGGAACCAUACCGCCAAAGAUAAAAUGUGUUCAAUAAACUCAAACUACUGCUCGAUCACUAAGGCUUUCAAGUCCCGGUUGGCAUGGACCUUACUGCUGAGAGACAUUCAUCCUCAUAACCAAGCUACAGGAUAGACGUCCCACUGCCACAUCUACACGAUUACCACUGUUUGCUUUUAAAGACAUUAUUAAGUGUCUUAAUUGUCAUGUAUUUCCAAGCUGAUGGUUCCGGGGGGUUAAUGUUUAAGCUCUUGUAUGUUCAAUUAAUUUGGGAGCAAGAACCCCCAUAAGGAACCAUACUGCCAAAGAUAAAUUGUGUUCAAUAAACUCAAGUAACUUGCCAAAGUGAUCCUGUCUGAACUUGCUUUGUAACCC